UUUUUAGCUGUUGUAAGUAGGAUUGUGUUCUUAAGUUCACUCUCAGCCUAGAUAUUGUUGGUGUAUAGAAAUGCUACUGAUUUUUGUACAUUGAUUUUGUGUCUUGAAACUUUACUAAAGCAGUCUAUCAAUUCUGGGAGCCUUCUGGCAGUCUUUAGGAUUUUCUAGGCAUAGAAUCAUAUUGUCAGAAAAGAGAAAUAGUUUGACUUCUUCUUUCCUAUUUAGAUGCUUUUUAUUUCUUUCUCCUGACCAACUGCUCUGCCUGGGACUUCUGGUAUUAUGUUGAAUAGGAGUGGUAAGAGUGGGCAUCUGUAUUAGUUCAUUCUCAUGCUGCUAUGAAGAAAUACCUGAGACUGGGUAAUUUCUAAAGGAAAUAGGUUUAGUUGACUCACAGUUCUGCAUGGCUAGGGGGAGCCCCAGGAAACUCAUAAUCAUGGUGGAAGGCAUUUCUUCACAGGGUGGCAGGAGAGAGAGUAAAUGCAAGCAGGGGAAAUUCCAGAUACUUACAAAAUCAUUAGAUUUCAUGAGAACUCUCUAUCACAAGAACAGCAUGGGGCAACUUCUCCCAUGAUUUAGUUACCUCUACCUGGUCCUGCCCUUGACAUGUGGGGAUUAUUACAAUACAAGGUGAGAUCUGAGUGGGGACACAGAGCCAAACCAUAUCAGCAUCCUAAUCUUGCUCCAGUUCUCAAUAGGAAUAGUUUGAGGUUCUCCCUGUUUAGUACGAUGCUGGCUGUGGGUCUGUCAUAAAUGGCUAUUAUUUUGAGGUAUGCUCCUUUGAUGGUUUUAUCAUGAAGCGAUGUUGGAUUUUAUCAAAAGCUUUUUCUCCAUCUAUUGAGGUGAUCCUGUGGUUUUCACUUUUGAUUCUGUUUAUGUGAUGAAUCACAUUUAUUGAUGUGUGUAUGUUAAAACAGCUUUGCAUCCCAGUAAUAGAAUCUAGUUGAUUGUGAUUGAUUAACAUUUUGAUGGGCUGCUGGAACCCAUUUGCUAAGAAUUUUACAUCUACGUUCAUGAAGGAUAUUGGACUGAAGUUUUAUUUCUUCAUUAUGUCUCUAUCAGAUUUGGUAUCAAGACUAAUGCUGGCUUUAUAAAAUGAGUUAGGAAAGAGCUCUUCCUCCUCAAAUUUUUGGAAUAGUUUCAGUGGGAUUGACAGUUCUUUGUGCAUCUGGUAGGAUUCAGGUUUGGAUCCAUCUGGUCCAGGGCUAUUUUCAAUUGGCAGAUUCAUUAUUAUUGAUUCAAUAUCCAAAGUUGAUACUGGUCUAUUCAGGAUUUCAAUCUCUUCCUGAUUCACUCUUGGGAGAAUAUGUGCUUCUAAGAAUUUAUCCAUUUCCUCUAGUUUUUCUAAUUUGUGUGCAUAGAGUUGAUCAUAGUAGCUUCUGAGGAUCUUUUGUAUUUCUGUGGGAUCAGCUGUAAUGUUACCUUUUUCAUUUCUGAUUG
rnacentral:lncRNA from 1 species